rnacentral:misc_RNA from 1 species
AAUUCAAAAAAGAAAAUUAAACAAACCAUACCAAUAGAAAACAAAUCAGGGAUAAGAAGCUGCAAAAAUCAAAUUUACAGAAAAGAAUCUAUCUAUUUGUUUAUCCAAUAAAUUUUCUAUCAAACCAGAAGCUUCACAUGAUACAUAAACUAUGCACACUGACUUUGUAAGAGAAUGAAAAAAGACUUGGAUGGAAUUGGACAAAAGGAUGAACAAAGAAAGGAGCUACUGAUCAAUCUAUCUACAAUGUUGAACUCCAACAUGAUCUGCUCUCAUCUCAAGCAAGACCCUGCAUUAUUUCAAACAUAAUUUUUUCCAUAUGUUGCUGAUCUUGAACAUGAUAAUUUGAAAAGCCGCGAAUCUUGGUCAAGUGUUCCCAAGCUGCCACUAGGUAAACACAAAAGACUCAAGGGAGAGUUCCUUAUAAUGUGUAUGCUAUACCUUUGGGCUACGAUCAUUUAUUGGUGUCAUAUACAGAGCCGAGCUACUUACUUCUUCUGAGUUCUCUUCUACAUUAGAUGCACUUCCUAGAGUGGAGCUCUUUACACUUUCUUUUUCUUGUUCAAGUGAAAACCAGAAAGGUUCAUAAUCAGUUCUCCCACCUUCAUCCUUGUUUUUGAAAUUUUUCUCCAUGCUAUCGCCAUUCAUAUUCUGCGAAAUUUCUGCCUGUGCAGUUCCUUUAUCUUCUGCAAAGUUAUCUCCCACCUCAGUAUCAAUUGUCUCCUUUAAGCUGGUGAUGCUCCGCAUUUGCUCACCAGAAUCAGAAUAAGCAUCUCUGGUCCAUUCCCUGCUUUUUAAAGUAUCAUCUAUCUCCUCAUAUUCCAAAUUCCGCAAAAUUUCAGGAAGUGAUAGGCCACUAUCCUCUGGAAACAUUGUUCCCAUCUCAAUAUCUAUCUUCUCUUUUGAGCUAUGGAUAUUUCCCACAAAGUUGGAAGUUGUUGGCUCAACCAUUACAAUGUCAUUUUCUUUAAAAACUGCUCGAAAAUUAUUCAAGGAGGGUGGGAUCUUGGAAAAGAAAACUUCUUUGAUAUUUUCAAUUGACCCCCUAUUAUAGGGAUUCUCCUUCUUAUCAUAUCGAUACCUGAAGUUCUCAUAAGUAGUCUGGUUAGUGCUAAUCAGGUAAAAAUGGAAAAUAGUAAGGCCACCAACAAACCAAACAGCAAUGAAGCAGUAUAUAAUGAGAACAUCUGACAAGAUAUCUUGUGAAAUAGCUCUCCAUAAGUUGCCGCCACGAUGAAGGAUAUUGACCAAGGAUAUGACAAAG